ACGGACAAAAGCUUAAGAAAGACUGCAGCCUGCUCUUUCCAUUAGAUCACAAUACCCCCUUUGCUUUUAUUACCUUUCAACACUUGAUCAGAAGCAUCUCUCUCAUCCAACAUAAAUUCCCAAACCAAACUCAUCUCCCAAACAUUGAUUUCUAUUCACACCCAAAUAAUGCAGUCCAUGCUGAACCUCCAUGGCACCUUUGGCCUUCCUCUCUGCGUUUCAGGGAUAACUCAUCAUCAUCCUCCUCAUCUCACCCACGAGAUGGCGGAUCAUGAUCGGAGAAGGGAGGCCAUGAAAAAGCAGAGAUCGAGAGCUAGAGAGGAGCUGAAUGCGAAUCGGGAAAUGGGUGCUGAGAGGAUCAGAGAACGAGUGACUGAAGAGAUCAUAGAUGGUGAUCUAGCUGCUCUACUGCGUGAUCUGUCCCUUUGUUAUUUGGCUAAUUGUAUUGCUAAAGCUGCUUAGCUAGCUAAAACCGUAGUGUUUAGGACCUUAAAUCUCAGUCUGAUUAGCACUUGUGUGUGUUAGACCUGCUUUUAAUUCAAUUUUUUAUGUGGGUUUUGUUGAAAUUAGAAUUUGGUUGUGAAUUAUGUUUCUAUAUGGAAUCAUGGAUUUUGUAGUGAUUUGACGUUAUUGUUCUUGACUGUUGGUUUUGGUUUGGA